GAUGAACGCUGGCGGCGUGCCUAAUACAUGCAAGUCGAGCGAACGGACGAGAAGCUUGCUUCUCUGAUGUUAGCGGCGGACGGGUGAGUAACACGUGGAUAACCUACCUAUAAGACUGGGAUAACUUCGGGAAACCGGAGCUAAUACCGGAUAAUAUUUUGAACCGCAUGGUUCAAAAGUGAAAGACGGUCUUGCUGUCACUUAUAGAUGGAUCCGCGCUGCAUUAGCUAGUUGGUAAGGUAACGGCUUACCAAGGCAACGAUGCAUAGCCGACCUGAGAGGGUGAUCGGCCACACUAGAACUGAGACGCGGUCCAGACUCCUACGGGAGGCAGCAGUAGGGAAUCUUACGCAAUGGGCGAAAGCCUGACGGAGCAACGCCGCGUGAGUGAUGAAGGUCUUCGGAUCGUAAAACUCUGUUAUUAGGGGAGAACAUAUGUGUAAGUAACUGUGCACAUCUUGACGGUACCUAAUCAGAAAGCCACGGCUAACUACGUG
rnacentral:rRNA from 1 species